rnacentral:rRNA from 1 species
CAGCAGCCGCGGUAAUACGUAGGGUGCAAGCGUUAAUCGGAAUUACUGGGCGUAAAGCGUGCGCAGGCGGUUAUAUAAGACAGAUGUGAAAUCCCCGGGCUCAACCUGGGAACUGCAUUUGUGACUGUAUAGCUAGAGUACGGCAGAGGGGGAUGGAAUUCCGCGUGUAGCAGUGAAAUGCGUAGAUAUGCGGAGGAACACCGAUGGCGAAGGCAAUCCCCUGGGCCUGUACUGACGCUCAUGCACGAAAGCGUGGGGAGCAAACAGGAUUAGAUACCCCUGUAGUCCCUGUCUUUUAUAC